AACCUUGAUUUACUCAAAUUGAAAGAUUUUGCCUUUUGUGGCCCAGAGUGGACACCCAAGGAUGGGGAGUUUCUACAACUACGGUUCUUCCUUAUUGAGCGCUCUGAUCUUGAACAUUGGAAUGCAAAUGCAAAUCAUUUCCCAGUUUUGGAGUGUCUAAUUCUAAGAUAUUACUUGGACUUGGAAAAACUUCCAAAUGAUUUUGAGGAGGUUUGUACAUUGCGAUUAAUUGAGUAUGGCAAUUGUUGUUCUUUCUCUUGUGACUUAAGCAAAGGUGAUCCAACAAGCACAACGAGACUUGGGAUAUAAAGGAUUUGUUGUUCGUGAUGUAACUAAGAUUGAGUUGCAAACCAAUGAAGGCUCCGAAAAAAGGAGUGAUGAGAAUGCAAUUUGAUAAUUUUGUGUUUGAGGAAAUCUGGUUUAACCAAGGGAAUCAUAUUCAAGUUACAAUGGUGCAUUGGCUUCAUCCCCAGAAAUGCAUCCUGGCUGCCUGAAGUUGUGGUGUUCUCAUUUGCAGCUUGUCUGUUAUUAAAUGAUGUCGAUGUUGAAUUGGAGUUCAUCUUCAAUAAUGUGGCUGGCUAAUGUAUUUGAUAUGUUGGAAUUUUUUAUAAGUGGUGUUUUGCAACUUGCAAAUCUCUAAUGGUUAGCAUAGAAUUGGCCAGGUCACAUUAAAA